GGAGAGUGUGGUUCAAUUCGAUGAAAACUGAAGAACCUUACCCGUGCUUAACAUGCCAUGAAUCCUCCCAAAAGAGAGGAGUGAUUUCAGGAACAUAGACAUAAGGGGUGCAUGGAUGUUGUCAUAUCAUGGUGUAAGGUGUUGGGUUAAGUUCUGCAAUGAGCACAACCCUCUUGUUUAGUUUCCAUCAUUGUGUUUGGAACCAUGAGAAAAUUGCUAGUGAUAAGUCGAAGGAAGGCGAGGAUGAUGUCCAUUCAUCUUGUCCCUGACACCUUGGGUGAGACAUGUGCUAC
rnacentral:ncRNA from 1 species